UGUGCUGUACAUUUGUAGGAGCGUGUCUUUGUGUGUGUGUGUGUGAGAGCUGUGUAUGUAAUCUCCAUUUUGUUUUUGUUUGUUUGUUGCUGCUGAAGUAUUUUUAGUGCUCGCGUGCGAAAUUCGGUGUCAAACUUAAACAUUUUACGUGAGAUCUACCCGCACAGUGUGACGCGAACAGUGCCAGCACAGAAGGAGGAGGUGGAGAGGUGCAGAAGCAGCAGCAGCAGCAGCAGCAGUAGCAGCAGCAGAGCAGAGCAGCAGCCAAGUUCAAAAUCAACGCCUGACAAUGACAAAGCGCUCCGUUGGGCGGCCAACUGCAGCAACGUGGCGCCCGCCAACAGCAGCAGCAGCAGCAGCAACAGCAGCAGCAGCAACAACAACAACAGCAACUGCAACAACAACAAUAGCCACAGUAGCAACAACAGCAGCAGCAACAACAGCAACAGCAACAACAUCGCCAGCAAUUACAACAAUCAAUGAGCGCAGCACGAGAUGGCGACGUUGCCAGCGUCGUCGACGCUGCAUAACAAUGCGGAUGAGCCGAGCCUCGCUGUAUGCCUCGUUGCCGGCAUGUGGCAUGUCCUGGCUGCUGUUCGUCCUCUGUCUGCUCAGCUGCCUGUGCUGUUACACAGUUGCACUGGAGGAGGACUGCGUGGACUUUCAGGGCAACAAGGUGAACCACGGCAUGCUGUACGUGCCCGGACCCGGAGUUUGCAGUCUCUGUGUUUGCUAUCAUUCCGAGCCGCUGUGGUGCAAGGCCAUUUACUGUGAUCCCCCUUAUUUCUGUAAAAACUUCAGAGUGGGCGAACGUUGCUGCGAAUUCGAGUGUCUCGAUCCACCCGGCGAGGAUAAACUCUAUCAGGAACGCAUGCGAAAACGUGCCGAAAUUUUGGCUGGCAACAGCACCGCAUCGAAUGUGAAGGUGGCGCCUCUGGCCAUGUCCACCAUAAUGCUCAGCUUUCUGGGCAACAGUUUUCUCAACUUAUAACUUGAAGUGAAAUAGCAAGCGAGCAACGGUAACGGUAACGGUGACAGUGACGGUAACGGUGUUUACGAAUUAAGUACGGCCCGUCUUGGAGAGGGAGAGAGUGGGAAAGGCAUAUUACAGGACCAGCAAGCAGAGCGCAAAAAGCAAAACAGACAAAACAACAAAAGCAUUCAAAAGACCCAAACAAUCGCAAACGAAUUAUCGAUAGCUAUCGAUGAUAAUCAAAUAAAAUGACACAACAAAAUAAUCGUACAGUAAAUACCACAACUAACGGAAAUAGAUGUGUACAUAAGGAGUACGGCUGUGACAAUUUAUUGUUUGCUUCAAACGCAUUAAACACAACUGUAAAUACGAAAAGAUAAAUAAACAAUAAUAAUAAUAUUAAUAAUAAUACGAUUACAAUCUAUGGAAAUCUCUAUAUACAUUCAUACUAUAUAAAAUGCAAUAUUUAAACAAAAGAGUCUCGAGCCUAAUGAAACAAUUAACAGUUACAAGCUUUCUCUAGUUUAUAAUGUAACCGAAAGUAUUUUAAUAAUAAAAGAAAAACAAACCAAAGAAAGAAUCAAAGAAGAAUAUUAUGAAUAAUCGGACUAUCGAUUAAAGAAUAUUCCUGCAGAUAAUUGGAUAGAUUUUGAAGACGUAAAGAGGAUCUUAAAAAUAACUAAAGUAAAAUAUUGAAAAUAUUAAUUUUUCAGAUUAAAUUCUUUAUAUUUUUCGAUAUUUAAGUUUUCGUUUUUUUUUUUUACCAAACUGUCAAAAAGAAAAUAUAAAAAAAAAUAUGCAAAUAUUUUUAUUUUUAUCCAACUGCAGGAGUAUUCAAAAGAAAAGAGUAAAGAUAACAAUAAACAAUGAUCUAAACUGAAUGUACAAUUCGAAUGCCACAAUAUCUGACCAAUAUGCAAAACAUAUAUAGUAUAUUUAUGCAUAAAGAAAUACCAACUCGUAUGAACUCAUAAACGAUGUGUAUUUUUAAGACGACAAAUUUGACAAAUUUUAAUAGAAUCCAUAACUAAUAUGCAAACAAACAAAAAAGUAAUGCUUUAAAGUACUAACAACAAAUUCUAACAACAACAAAAAAAAAAACUAUUAUAUAAAAGAAACCAAAAACAAUUUCAAUUUAUAGACUAAAUAAACAAACGCAAAUUGGCUUUAAUUGACAGUUAAUAAUAAUUAAUUAAUAAACAACAAAAAAAGAAAGAAAAGUAAAUGAAAUCAUUAGAAGAAAAUAAUAUUCGAACAUUUACCUUGAGGACGUCACGUCACGCUCAUUUCUAAAAUGGUACGAGUACGGAUUUUUUUCUCCAUUUUUAGAUAGACCCACAACAUAUAUUUGGGGUAUAAGUUGUCAAUAAUAUGAUCGAUUUACAUGAUCCGAACAAAAAAAAAUCCCGUCUUACGCUUUUGCCACUAAAAACCUCUAUAAACAAUUUUUUUUUAUAUAUAUAAGCACUACGACUUAAAGUGCAUUCUGGAAAUGUCCCAUUAAGCUAAUCCAAUGGGCAUUUACCUAUUACUUACAAAUAAUUAGUCUAAAUCGAAGCGAUAUAAUCUAGUAUCAGCUGUACGUAUUUAGUUUUGAAACUGAAACACUUAUAAACCAAAACCUUCAAAUCUUAUUGAAAUUAAUAAAAAUAAAAAAUGAUAUACUAGUAUCAACUAAAAUGAAAGCAAAUGAAGAUGAACUCAAAAAAUCUAUUAGAAAUGUCAUCAAUAACAAUCCCACAUUGAAUUUAUUACAAUUAUAAUCAUUUAUCAAGAGGAUUUCGAAUCAUGUAUGCAUAUAUUUCAAAACUAUUCAAAGUACCAGAGAAUUUUAACAAAAAUAAAACAUAUUUUCACAAUAGCUUAACAACA